AUACUGAAUCGAAAGAGCAUCUCUUUCUAAUAACAGCUUCAUUCUGCACUGACUUACAAGCAGUCACAGUGUAAUCUAAACCAGUAGAAACAAAGUGUGAGUUCAGGAAGUCCAAGCCACAGGGAAGGAGAUUCUGCAGCAGAGAUGCAGCUACCCGAGUGUGAUUAAUGGGAGUGCAGAGCCCAAAUCCCGUAGGAGGGCCCAGCUGCCAGGUACAUUCAGAGCAAGCAGAUGGGACCAGUCCUCACACAAAAAGCAGCCAGAAGUGAGACCUUCCACCCAGCCGGAAUACAGUCCAGAGGUGGUGUGACUGAAGGGACGAACACAGCACUGACAUGGGAGCUCCUACAAGAAGAUGCAAAAGUACCACAAAUGGGUUUUACAGAAGACACUCGGCUGGGGUCAGACUGCAUCAUACCAGAUCCUGCCAAAAGAUGCAAAAUUAGCACUGCGAUGGAUAUACUUGUGCAACCUCCGGGGAAAGACAAUUAGGGAAUAAGGAAUAAGAGGAAAGAGGGAGUUCUCACUGCCCAAAUGACCAAAAGACUAAAUCUUCUUUAUAUCCAUCUCCUGCCCUGUGAGUUUUUGAUUCUGCAAAACCUUUGCACUGAGAAACCGCACGUCAGCCUCAAAAGAAGUGAUGAUGGCUUGCACGUAGCAAGUUUUGAGGUUGAUUAGCAAUUGCCCAGUAACAUUCAUGGAUGUGAUGAGCACUCAGAAGAAAACCACCAGAUUUCUCUCUUUCUUUCUUCUUUAAGCAGCAUGUAACUUGUGUGUUCCUAUGGAGCCACUGAAAGGCUCAGGCUAGAGUUAGGACAGCUCUCCAAAUUCAGUUGGAGGCCAUCUGUUACCAAGAAGCAAGUUUUAAUGUUUCUCUCCUUUUUACAUUCUACCUGUGCCGGUUUGCAUUAGACUUAAAUCUCUACUGAAUCCAUGACAGGUGUAGCAAACAACUGUAAAUAAUACCAGACAUCUUAGCACUCUCACUGGAGAUGGAGAGAUAGGGGAAGCAAAGGCCAAUCAGACAGACAUACCUGGAAGUACAGCGUUAUCAAUCCUGCCUCCAGCUUAGGGCUGGUCUGGGGCUGGCUCAGUUCCUCAUUCCAAUCCAUGUGGAAAUUGAAUAUACAUUUCCCAUCUGCUCUUUUUGAAGCAGUAGCGUUACUUUGACAGUGCUUUGAACUGUCUCCCAAAUUGCAUGAAAAAUUCCACAGUGCAUUCUGUUUAAUCACACUCAGAUUUUUGGGAAAUAGUUCUGAUUAGUUCCAAUAUUAUUAGAAAUGGUACAGCUAUGCUUUUACACAUAGGGUAUAUAAAUUUUCCAGAUGCGUAGACUUUUAUAAAGUGACCAACUUCAGCAUUGAUGAGAAAGGCAAGAGAACAGGGAAGAAUGUUUAUGAAGAUUUUAACCUGUAGAAAAAUAAAGACGUCUGUGAGCUGCUCAGUUUCCAGCACAGAUGGGAGACAGACUUACAGGACAUAGUUCCAGAAAGUUUUAGCACUAGCUGAAAGGCUACAAGGACUCUGACUUACUCACACUGUAGCUAAUGGAAAUUAGAGGCAUGGGACACAGCAUCGGUCACGUUUUAGGAAGAACAAGCCUAAACUACAAUUUUUCUAAAGACUUCAGAUUCUCCUGAAAGUAUUUGUGUAAUGUCUGGCUAGCCAAGUAGUUUCAGAUGUUAAUUGAAUUCAGCAGCUCUAUUAAUGCAAUCAGAAAGUAAAGUAGUACAGAUGCAAAGGUUCAAAUAUGUGUUAUGAUCUCAGCAAACCAGAGGACUCAAGUUAUUGAAUAUGAAAUAAAUAAAGUUAUGUUUGCCUCUAC